rnacentral:rRNA from 1 species
AGUAAAAGUCGUAACAAGGUUUCCGUAGGUGAACCUGCGGAAGGAUCAUUAUCGAACGAAUGUAGAGUCGGCUGUCGCUGGCCCCUCCGGGCAUGCGCACGCCUUCUCUUUCAUCCACACACACCUGUGCACUCGUGAGACGGAAGCCUCCGGGCGUCCGUCUGCUCUACAUAAACUCUUAAAAAAUCAGAAUGUGAUCGAUGUAACGCAUCUUUAAACUAAGUUUCAACAACGGAUCUCUUGGCUCUCGCAUCGAUGAAGAACGCAGCGAAAUGCGAUAAGUAAUGUGAAUUGCAGAAUUCAGUGAAUCAUCGAACCUUUGAACGCACCUUGCGCUCCUCGGUAUUCCUUGGAGCAUGCCUGUUUGAGUAUCAUGAAAUCAUCAAGACGAAUCUUUCGUUAGCUCGAUCGGUUUCGUUUUGGACUUGGGGGUCUGCAGAUUCACGUCUGCUCCUCUUAAACGCGUUAGCUGGAUCUCGGUAGACUCGGUUCCACUCGGCGUGAUAAGUAUCGCUCGCUGAGGACGCCCGUAAAAAAGGCGGCCGGGACUGCGGAAGAACCGCUUCCAAUCGUCCGUUCGGACAAAAACACUUUACGAUCUGAUCUCAAAUCAGGUAGGACUACCCGCUGAACUUAAGCAUAUCAAUAAGCGGAGGA